rnacentral:lncRNA from 1 species
GACGGAAAAAGUAGCGGGAGGCCGGAAAUUAUUGUCUUUGGCCUCUGGUUCUGCGAGCCGAUUGUGUUUUCGUACCGUCGUAGGUUUUCUUUCUCUUUUCUUUUUCUCUUAACGUUUGUCUUUCUCCCUCCCUCGUCCUCUGCUCUCUCUUCCUUCGCACUUUUAUUAUUACUUGACAAUUUACUGCCUAUGUACGAGUCCUUCGUUCUCCCAACCCCGUCCCAUUUUCGUGGCCUUGAUUUGAUUCUUGUGGGUGUGUUUGCUUGUUGUGAUCCGCUGAGUGUAAUUCUGAUUUCUUGUAUGUGCGUAGAUUUAAAAAGCUAUUUUCUUUUUCUUCUUUAAAAAAAAAAAAAGAUUUGUUUUAUUUAUUUUAUGUGAGUCCAAUGUCGCUGUCUCCAGACACACCAGAAGAGGGCAUCAAAUCCCAUUACAGAUGGUUGUGAGCCACCAUAUGGUUGGGGGGAUUUGAACUCAGGACCUCUGGAAGAGCAGUCAGUGCUCUUAACCGCUGAGCCAUCUCUCCAGCCCUAGCUAUUUUCUUUUUAAGAAUUUCUUUCCAAAAUAUGAUCUCAGCUAGGCAUAGUGGCCCAUGACUUUAUUCACCGCCCUAAGGAAACAGAGGCAGGUCUCUCUGAGUCAGAGGUCAGCCUUGUUUACAUGAGUUCCGGGACAGGCAGGGCUACAUAGCUAGACCUUUUCUAAAACAAAACAAAACAAAUGAGCAAACAAAAUUAAAGUCCCACCAAAUUAUACCAGGCUGGCCUUGGGCUUUUGAACCUCCUGUCUCAGCCUAACUUUGGUUGGGAUGGCAGGCACACCUAACACAGGAACUGGAAUUUUCGAGCACUUUUGACAGAAUAUGAAGGCUGUCUUGGGUCGGUGCAGGAGAACUGCUGGACUGUGCCGAGCCUUUGCAUGUCCUGGCGGGAACUCAGCAGUAACCCUUGACCACCCAGCAGGUACCUAGACAGGGACACCUGUGUCUUCCUGGCAGACACACCACUGGGCCCUGUCCCAACAGUCCCAGCAUGUUCCACUGCAGGGGUCACAGUAUGUCCCCCUGUGAGUCAGGUUCUGCUGACCGCAUGCCCCUACUCCUGCCAUCUCUGUGCACAGCUUUAACGUCCUCCCUGUGGGGAGCAGUGACUAGUGUUUUAUCCCUGAGGAUAAAAAGGCUGUUUUGAUAAUGGGCAGGCUUGGCUUGAGAGGAGCUGCUGCUAAACAUAGCACUGAGAAGGUUCCUGGAGGGGAUGGGGGUGCUGCUUUGUCUGAGUGCCCCCCAGGUCCUCCGAGAACUAUUCUUGACGCCUCUGAAAAACAGGUUCCCUUUGAGGAAAAAAAUGUCUGAUCUCUAAGCAUUAGCCUCAAAGCUCCCCUCUCCUGUUUGCUUUGCUUCCUACCCCAGCUUCUCAUUUCUUUUUCCUUUUAGAAAAAAAAAAAAAAGAAAAGAAAGAAAACAACUACCUUUCUGAAUGUAUUGUAUCCAAGGCCUUUGCAAUGUUGGGAGCAGAGUGAGCAGGUGUGGGGAGUCCUGAAAGACUGGUUACAUUACGGAGGUCAUCUGGCAUCCAGAGAAAGCUACUGCUUCAUCAAGCAGUUCUCCACCCUGCUGUAAUUAAAUACCUUGAAUUUUCUUUCUUUCCCCCAUGUAAAUGAAGGACUUCGUGGUCUUCUCUAAAAGUUUCUGUUCUGACUAACUUUGAUUCUCGGUUCCGUCAUCCAUUUCAUCUUGUGUUCUGUUGCCUUUGGUUAUAUCACACAAAGAGAAGGGUUGGGAUGUAAGUGAGUUAAGUUAUCCAGGACAAAAUCUUCGCUGACCACCUCAUCUGUGAUGGAAGCAUCCUCAUUUAAUAUGUAUUCUGCAAACUUUUUUUUUGGUGAGAGAUGUAAUUUCUCAUGAUGUACCCCAGGCUGGUACCUCUUGAGUGGGCUUCAUGAGUGCUGGGGUUAUAGGACUGGCCAAAAAGCACUUUGUAUUUAUGAAUACAUAUUCAUUCAUUAAAUACAUAUUGACUAAUAGGUACCAGCUGAGUUUCUUGUUCAAGGGGACAUAAGAGUCGAUAGAAAUUGCAAACUCUCCACUGGGGCUGUAGGUCACUGGGUAGACCGUGGGUUCCAUCUCAGGCACCGUGUGAAACCUAGCAUGGUGGCACAAGCCUCUAAUGCUAUUUCUGGGGAGGUGAAGGCAGAAGGAGUGUAAGUUUAAAGUCAUCCUCAGUUACACAAGUUCGAAGCCACCUUAGGUUACGUAAGACCCUGCAUUCAGUGUGUAGGCCACAGAUUGGACACACCUAUCUCUAUUAUAGACAGUUUCAGCCAGGAGUGAUGGUGCAUACCUUUAAUACCAGCAUCCAGAAGGAGGCAAGGGCAGAUGGAUUUCUGUAAGUUAGAGGCCAGUCUAGUGUAUAUAGUGAGUUCUAGGAUAGCCAGACCAUACAGUGAGGCUCAGUCUGGAAAAACAAAACAAAACAUUCUUGCUGUGGACACUAUGUUCUAUUCUCCUUUGUCUAUUUCUUUUUACAGGGGAGGGCAGUUCAAGAAAGGAUUUCUCUGGUGGUCCUGUUCUGGAACUCACCCUUGUAGACCAGGCUGGCCUGGAACUCACAGAGAUCUGCCUGCUUUUGCCUCCUGAGUGCCGGGAUCAAAGGCGUGUGCCACCACUGCUUGUCUACUUUGUAAUGUUACAAAUAGUUUUUCAAUGAUGUAUUCAUAGCUUAAAAAAUUGUGCAGAACCAGAUCUGGCAGUACAGUCUGUAAUUCUGGGGGCUGGGGGUGUGAAAGAGGAAAUUCAAGAGGUUGGGGGGAGAGAGUUGUGAGUUUGAGGCCAGCCUGGACCUGGACAUACAGACACACUCCUGUAACCCACACUCAGGAACGUGCUUGAUAUAAGAGGAUAGAGAGGCCAAGGGGAACUCAGGUUAGACAUGACAGAACCCGGUCUCCACAGUAAAAGUUGUGGGUAAACUUCUCAGUGCUUUGAUGACUUUUGAAAACAAAUGUUUCUCUAACUUUUCUUUUUUCCUCUCUGUCACUCAGAACCUCCAGUCACAAAUGCUGGAAUCUGCUUUAUAAGGCAAUAGGAAAAAGACAGAAGCCAAAAUACAAGGAUUCUACUCAAGCCUUCUGGAAAGGACUGUGUUGCCUUUGAUGCAUGGAGCAAAGAAUUCUUAGAUUUUCCUGCCAGCCCCUGAAACCGGACCUGUGAUGUCAAGUUGGGUUUUGUUGUUGUUUGUUUUAACCUGCCAUGAGAUGGGUUGACAGGAUCAAUCAUUUUACACCAUGAUCCCUUGUCCCUGGGAGGACUGUCUGAGACAUUAGAGAAAUGGGAUACAGACUUCCUCACUGGGCUGGGGGAGCUGGCUCAGGUGCAGAGUACUUGCCACGAUAUGAAGAUCCACUUUUAAAAUAAAUCAAACAUAGUCAAGCA